rnacentral:rRNA from 1 species
AUUGAACGCUGGCGGCAGGCCUAACACAUGCAAGUCGAGCGGAUGAAGGGAGCUUGCUCCUGGAUUCAGCGGCGGACGGGUGAGUAAUGCCUAGGAAUCUGCCUGGUAGUGGGGGAUAACGUCCGGAAACGGGCGCUAAUACCGCAUACGUCCUGAGGGAGAAAGUGGGGGAUCUUCGGACCUCACGCUAUCAGAUGAGCCUAGGUCGGAUUAGCUAGUUGGUGGGGUAAAGGCCUACCAAGGCGACGAUCCGUAACUGGUCUGAGAGGAUGAUCAGUCACACUGGAACUGAGACACGGUCCAGACUCCUACGGGAGGCAGCAGUGGGGAAUAUUGGACAAUGGGCGAAAGCCUGAUCCAGCCAUGCCGCGUGUGUGAAGAAGGUCUUCGGAUUGUAAAGCACUUUAAGUUGGGAAGAAGGGCAGUAAGUUAAUACCUUGCUGUUUUGACGUUACCAACAGAAUAAGCACCGGCUAACUUCGU